rnacentral:lncRNA from 1 species
UGAAUCCAUUCAGCAUCAGUCAACUUGGGACUUUGAGGGUGCUAUUUCUCUUUCGUUUCUUUCUUUCUUUUUUUUCUUUUUGUUCUUUUGAUUUCGAUUUCUUUUGAUUUUGCACCCUCCUCUUUCUUUUCUUUUUUUGGUUUUUUUUUCAUUUUUUUCAUUUUUUUUUUGUAAUGCCCCAGUUGGCUGUUCUGCUGAUUCUCGAGAUGCAGCUAAGUGGUCUUCUUUUCUUGCUCAAGAAGUCGGGAAAUCUCGUCAGGAAUCCCUUCAACAUCCUCUUCUUCCGCUUCGAAUACAGGGAAUUUCAAAAUUGGGAGAUGACGUCGGAUCAUUAUGUUCAAUGGGUUUAAGAAUCGACCUGCAUAAUGAUUUUGAUAUGAAAAG